UGGGUUGUGGUGAAGCGGUAAACACACAAAGCUUUGACCUUUGUAUACGUAGGUUCGAAUCCUACCAGCCCAG
rnacentral:tRNA from 2 species